AGUGAACGCUGGCGGUAGGCCUAACACAUGCAAGUCGAACGGCAGCACAGUAAGAGCUUGCUCUUACGGGUGGCGAGUGGCGGACGGGUGAGGAAUACAUCGGAAUCUACUUUUUCGUGGGGGAUAACGUAGGGAAACUUACGCUAAUACCGCAUACGACCUACGGGUGAAAGCAGGGGAUCUUCGGACCUUGCGCGAUUGAAUGAGCCGAUGUCGGAUUAGCUAGUUGGCGGGGUAAAGGCCCACCAAGGCGACGAUCCGUAGCUGGUCUGAGAGGAUGAUCAGCCACACGGGAACUGAGACACGGUCCAGACUCCUACGGGAGGCAACAGUGGGGAAUAUUAGACAAUGGGCGCAAGCCUGAUCCAGCCAUACCGCGUGGGUGAAGAAGGCCUUCGGGUUGGAAAGCCCUUUUGUUGGGAAAGAAAAGCAGCAGGUUAAUACCCCGCUGUUCUGACGGUACCCAAAGAAUAAGCACCGGCUAACUUCGUG
rnacentral:rRNA from 1 species